rnacentral:tRNA from 1 species
GCCGGUGUGGCUCAAUGGAUUGAGCGUCGGCCUGUGGACGGAAGGGUUCUGGUUCGAUUCCGGUCAAGGGCA